rnacentral:rRNA from 1 species
GACGAACCGUGCGAACGUUGUUCGGAAUCACUGGGCGUAAAGCGCACGUAGGCGGCUUUCUAAGUCGGGGUGAAAUCCUGGAGCUCAACUCCAGAACUGCCUUCGAUACUGUUUGGCUAGAGACCGGAAGAGGUAAGUGGAACUGCGAGUGUAGAGGUGAAAUUCGUAGAUAUUCGCAAGAACACCAGUGGCGAAGGCGGCUUACUGGUCCGGUUCUGACGCUGAGGCGCGAAAGCGUGGGGAGCAAACAGGG